rnacentral:piRNA from 1 species
GAUUGUGUUCUAAGUGUGGGAUGUCUGAG